rnacentral:rRNA from 1 species
AUUGAACGCUGGCGGCAUGCUUUACACAUGCAAGUCGAACGGUAACAGGCCGCAAGGUGCUGACGAGUGGCGAACGGGUGAGUAAUGCAUCGGAACGUGCCCAGUCGUGGGGGAUAACUACUCGAAAGAGUAGCUAAUACCGCAUACGAUCUAUGGAUGAAAGCGGGGGACCGUAAGGCCUCGCGCGAUUGGAGCGGCCGAUGUCAGAUUAGGUAGUUGGUGGGGUAAAGGCUCACCAAGCCAACGAUCUGUAGCUGGUCUGAGAGGACGACCAGCCACACUGGGACUGAGACACGGCCCAGACUCCUACGGGAGGCAGCAGUGGGGAAUUUUGGACAAUGGGCGCAAGCCCGAUCCAGCAAUGCCGCGUGCAGGAAGAAGGCCUUCGGGUUGUAAACUGCUUUUGUACGGAACGAAACGGCUCUGGUUAAUACCCGGGGCUAAUGACGGUACCGUAAGAAUAAGCACCGGCUAACUACGUG